rnacentral:tRNA from 1 species
CCCCUUUUAGUUUAUUUAAAAAAUGUCAAAUUGUGGUUUUGAAGAAUUAGAGGGGA